AAUCAACGCUGGCGGCGUGCCUCAGACAUGCAAGUCGAACGAUUAAAGCUCUCUUCGGAGAGUGUAUAGAGUGGCGCACGGGUGAGUAACACGUAAGUAAUCUACCUUUGAGUGGGGAAUAACCCGGGGAAACCCGAGCUAAUACCGCAUAAUGCAGCGGCAUCGCAAGAUGACAGUUGUUAAAGGAGCAAUCCGCUUAAAGAGGAGCUUGCGGCAGAUUGGCUAGUUGGUAAGGUAAUGGCUUACCAAGGCUACGAUCUGUAUCCGGUCUAAGAGGACGGUCGGACACACUGACACUGAAUAACGGGUCAGACUCCUACGGGAGGCAGCAGUCGGGAAUUUUGGGCAAUGGGCGAAAGCCUGACCCAGCAACGCCGCGUGAAGGAUGAAGUAUUUCGGUAUGUAAACUUCGAAAGAAUAGGAAGAAUAAAUGACGGUACUAUUUAUAAGGUCCGGCUAACUACGUGCCAGCCGCCGCAGUAAC
rnacentral:rRNA from 1 species